rnacentral:lncRNA from 1 species
UACCGAAAGUGACUUACUCCUCUGCCCUUCCUGCUUCCGUCUCUGCCGGUGCCGUGGUGUCGUGCGUGCCUGGUGCGGUCUUGUGCAGCGUCACGUGCUGGUGCUUCUGGUGACCUUUGACCUGUGGGUGUCCCUUCUUGUGUCUCUUCUCCCGUGUUCGUUUUUUGGAUUGGGUUGUGGUUUGGCUUCCGCUGGCUUGUCAGGCUCGGGCUGGGGUGCCGGCUUGUGCCUGCCGCACGGAGCGUGGGGUCCGGGCCCGGCCUCUUCUGCUUUGGCGCCCACCCCAAGCCCCAGGGGGGUCAGGUGCGGGGGCUCUGCCACCCCCACCCCACCCCCACCCCCCGGCUGACCCUUGGCUUCGCGUGUGUGUCUUGGGCUUGGGCUGAUCCAGCGGCAGGGGAGUUGAAACUGGGGGCCGUCCGGGCCUCCCCCCUGCCCCCCGCCGCUGCUUCCUUGCUCACCGCCUCUGGCCCUGGGUGGAGGCUUUGCGGGGAUCAGGGAGUCACUGUGCGUGUCGGCGGAGUCAGGGCCAAGCGUGUCUUCCUUCUGGCCUCCGUUCGGCCUGUUCAGGCUCCAGCCGCUGACCCAAGGUGUGUUCCUGUGGGUUUCAUGUGAGCCUCAGCAGGGGAACCCCAGGGGCCCCUGCCGUCUCUUCCCAGAGCUAUUCCCAUGCUGCGGGGCGGUGCUUUCCAGGCAGAACCAGGUGGUUUGGGGGCCCACCUGGGGCAGCCCCUUCUCCUUGCCUGAGGGCCUGGGGGUCCCCACUAGUGCCAGACAAGGGCUCCGGUCUCCAGGGCCAGGUCCUGUCCCUCUCCCCGAGAACAUGCCGGCAGCUCUCGGCUUUGGGCCUUCUUCCACCUCUUUGGGAUCUGUGUCUUCCAGGCACCCGCCGCUUGGCUUUGGAGGUGCUUCUCCGGGCUGAUCCUGCCUCCCCAUCCUGGCUCCACGGCGAGGCAGCCAGGCUCCCAGACGUGGUUCGGGCAGCCACUCGUAGGCACGUGAUGGGGCCGCUGGCGGUGCGGCGUCUGCCCCCAAGAGGCUGCUGCCCUGGCUCUGGCCACGUGGGGCUUGGCCACUCCUUGGGGUCACUGGUUGGCUUGUCUGGGGGCUCUGAACCCCUGAAAAAGCACAGCAGCGGGCUGGUGGAAAGACAAACCAUGCAGCCUGGAAGGGCUUAACCUCGUGGACAGCAGACUCUUCGUCCCAGAGUUUGACCCAGUGCGCCCGUGGGACAGGAGGAAGGAUGUGCUCGCAGCUUGUGGCGUCUGGACGGGCUGCUCUUGGCCCUGGACACGCUGUACCCAGGUUGGCCUGCAAUGGAGGUUUUGGUUGUUGACCCUGAAUCACUUAGUGGCUUCCUUGGCCUCCCUGCAGUCUGGCUUCGUCUACUGAGGGCCUGGGCAAGAGUGGUUCAUGUUGGUUGUAGCAGCAACCAACUGGAAUCACGUUGUAAGAAUCCCUAAAGCGAGGCCAGGCUAUGCCCUGUGCUGGACGGGGCAGGCGGGGCGGGGAGAGGCUUUCCCUUGCCGAGUGUGGGCCUCACCCUUGUCCUGCCUGCGCGGUGGUCGUCCAUCUCUGUGCACCCCUGCUGGGCUCUAGACCUGGAGAGAGGAGGGUUGGGGCGUGGGCGUAGGUGGACCAGAAAUCGCACGUCCUUGGUUUGGUUCACAGAAGCUUCUGGAGUUAGGGAGGCUCUGCUUCCUUUGGAGGUUUUGGAAUUUGGAGCAACUGUUUCUUGGGUCUCGGGGAGCAUCCUGCCUCCACCAAGCCAGCCUCGGGGCCGCUCGGCCCCUUCUCUCCCUGCCCUUGGUUCUUGACAGUAGAUCCUCUGUCCGUGUGUGACUGGUCGGUGUCUUUCUGGUUCUCGUUAAUUCAGUUUUCCUACUGUAAGCGUGUUGUGUUCUCUUUCUCUCCUCGACUUUUUGACGCAGCGAUUGAGGGCUUUGGCCGAGGCCGAGUCUCCCCACCUUGUCCGCUAAGUGAGCUGUAUCGUGCACCUUCCUUCACGCCUUUUGCCCUCGCCCAGCUCCUUCCUUCUCCCGACAUGGACAUUCAGACUUGCAAGGAGAACCCUUGGGGAACAGGUCCUCUCCUGUCCCCAGCGUGGCCCCAGGGAGCCCACCCCAUGGCCCCUGGCUGCUGCUCCAGGCGGCGUGGCGUUUAUGCGGGCAAGAAGCUGCAGCUGCUCCGCGGCUGUGUGGCGGGCUGGUUGCUGCUGUGUGCGGGUCUCUCCGGAGGCUUUUCUACUCUUGGUCUGUGCCUCAGGUCUGGGCACAACCCUGACCGUCAGCAGCGGCCUUGAUAGUUGGUGCCCAGGCCCAUGGCUCUGAUCAGCUGCAGCGUGCUUUGGGACAGGUGGACAAACUCCACGCAGUCCCUGCCGCCUCCCCCCUCUGGGGUCGAGAGUUGGCCAAAGCUCCAGUCCACAGCUGGAAGCCACAGCCUGCAGCACUGUUUCCGCUCUGGGAUCUUGUAAGUUACUUUUUUAGGCUGUGGUUUGGUGAAAGGAACCAACCCAUUAACGAUUUUUUUCCCCAGAAGCCACCGAAUAAUUCUUUUUGGCGCGUUUUCACCUUCCUCUUGGCUGUCUGGUUUUGGAGCAGAUGGGAAGAGGCAGGGGUGUGCCCUGGAGACGGAUGGCCUGCCCUGCUCUGGCCUGUGUGUCCUGAGCAUGUGCUCUACCUGUUGGGUCAGUUGCAUAUGUUUCCACCCCACCCUGGAGCAGCAGCCUUGGUACCGGGGUGUCCUUGGCGGGAGUCUGAGCUGGCGUGUAGGAGAGCCUGUCCGAGAUGAGUUGUGAGGGAGAUGCCUCUCAUGGCCUCGUGUCCCAGCCCCACCCUUCUCCCCAUCCCCUCAAUCUGCUAGUCCCUGAAGCCUUUAACCAAACGGGAGUGGGUAAAGAAAGCCUUCUCCUGGCAUCUUAGGGCGGCAGGACAAGGGCUGUCCAGUGUGUCCAGCUCUGCUGCUCUCCCGACGCAGCGAGGGUGGGCCAAGCAGAGUUGAUCAGCCCCUGCCUGCUCUGCUGAAGGCUGCGGACAGGAGGGGGUGGGGGUACCCUGGGGUCUGCGGGGGGCGGGCGGGGGUUGUUGAAGAUCCAGGUGAGGAGGGGCCUCGCUGGGGCACCCGGGCUGACCUGGGGCGGAGCGGCCUCGCGCCGUCCCUGCCCUGUGCAGUAUUUAUUGCUAAAUUAUUGUCCAGGAGGGGCGGCACUGGGCCGGGCCCUGGGUAUUUAUUGCUGUACAUAGUGUAUGUUUGUGAUAUAUAAGGUUUUCUUUAUUUUGUAUAUGAUCAAUAAACACCUU